UAAAAAUCUUAACUGUCCUCUUGCCUUCACUGAUCGCUCUCCUAAGUUCAUCUCCUCAAAAAUGAUGAGUCCUGCCCAGUUCCUGUUUCUGUUAGUGCUCUGGAUUCAGGAAACCAGCGGUGAUGUUGUGAUGACCCAGACUCCACUGUCUUUGCCGGUUACCAUUGGACAACCAGCCUCCAUCUCUUGCAAGUCAAGUCAGAGCCUCUUAUAUAGUAAUGGAAAGACCUAUUUGCAUUGGUUAUUACAGAGGCCAGGCCAGUCUCCAAAGCGCCUAAUCUAUCAGGUGUCCAAACUGGGCACUGGGGUCCCUGACAGGUUCAGUGGCAGUGGAUCAGAGACAGAUUUUACACUUAAAAUCAGCAGAGUGGAACCUGAGGAUUUGGGAGUUUAUUACUGUUUGCAAACUACACAUGAACCUCACACAGUGAUACAGACCCUAACAAAAAUCUUCUCACUUGAGUCAGCCCAGCUGACAAGAUGCUGAUUGACUGGAGAGGAG